rnacentral:misc_RNA from 1 species
CAACUGCGAUAAGUAGUGUGAACUGCAGAAACCUUGAACACAGAACAUUCGAAUGCACAUUGCGCCAUUGGAGAUACAUCCUUUGGCACGCCUGGUUCAGGGUCGUUAUUCUAAAACGCACAGCGUGUGCGUGUACAAGCUGCUUGACCAACUUGCGUACAGUUGAUCUUGCAUUGGUGGCGUGCGUCCGCACGGCGAAAUUGUCGCGCUAGCAUGGACUUGUAUGCAAUUUCAUUGCGUCCAUGUUCUGCCAAAUGAGCAGCUAGGGCGUGACGCUGAGCUGUGUGGGCAGCACCUGACAAGAAAACUCAUUUUUCGACCUGAACUCAGACGUGAUCACCCGCUGAACUUAA